GAUAAACGCUGGCGGCGUGCUUAACACAUGCAAGUCGAACGAAGUUUUUCCUUCGGGAGAAACUUAGUGGCGGACGGGUGCGUAACGCGUGGGUAACCUGCCCUGUACAGGGGGACAACAGCUGGAAACGGCUGCUAAUACCGCAUAAGCACUUAGCACUGCAUGGUGCAUAGGGAAAAGGAGCAAUCCGGUACAGGAUGGACCCGCGUCUGAUUAGCCAGUUGGCAGGGUAACGGCCUACCAAAGCGACGAUCAGUAGCCGAUCUGAGAGGAUGUACGGCCACAUUGGGACUGAGACACGGCCCAGACUCCUACGGGAGGCAGCAGUGGGGAAUAUUGCACAAUGGAGGAAACUCUGAUGCAGCGACGCCGCGUGAGUGAAGAAGUAUUUCGGUAUGUAAAGCUCUAUCAGCAGGGAAGAAAAUGACGGUACCUGACUAAGAAGCACCGGCUAAAUACGUG
rnacentral:rRNA from 1 species